rnacentral:tRNA from 1 species
GGGAUCGUCGUAUAGCUUGGUUAGUAUUCGAGGUUUGGGACUUCGCGACCCCGGUUCGAAUCCGGGCGAUCCCA